UGUUGGGUCGCAUGGCCCUUCAAGGAAAGGUAGCUUCGGCCAUCCGGUGAGGGAUGGGCCCGCGGUACAUUAGCUAGUUGGUAGGGUAACGGCCUACCAAGGCGACGAUGUAUAGCUGGUCUGAGAGGAUGAUCAGCCACGCUGGGACUGAGACACGGCCCAGACUCCUACGGGAGGCAGCAGUCGGGAAUCUUGCACAAUGGGCGAAAGCCUGAUGCAGCAACACCGUGUGGGUGAGGAAGGCCUUCGGGUCGUAAAGCCCUGCUGUUGGGGACGAAGGGCGAAGGGUUAAUAGCCCCUAGCUUGACGGUACCCUUCGAGGAAGCCCCGGCUAACUACGUGCCAGCAGCCGCGGUAAUACGUAGGGGGCGAGCGUUGUCCGGAAUUAUUGGGCGUAAAGAGCGUGUAGGCGGCUUGGUAAGUCUGCUGUGAAACCCCGGGGCUCAACCCCGGACGUGCAGUGGAUACUGCCAGGCUAGAGGAUGGUAGAGGCGAGUGGAAUUCCCGGUGUAGCGGUGAAAUGCGCAGAUAUCGGGAGGAACACCAGUAGCGAAGGCGGCUCGCUGGGCCAUUCCUGACGCUGAGACGCGAAAGCAUGGGGAGCAAACAGGAUUAGAUACCCUGGUAGUCCAUGC
rnacentral:rRNA from 1 species